AGACGGAGGGGGCUAGCGUUGUUCGGAAUUACUGGGCGUAAAGCGCGCGUAGGCGGUCCGUUUAGUUAGGCGUGAAAGGCCUGGGCUCAACCCGGGAACUGCGUUUAAAACUGGCGGGCUAGAGUCCGGGAGAGGGUGGCGGAAUUCCCAGUGUAGAGGUGAAAUUCGUAGAUAUUGGGAAGGACACCAGUGGCGAAGGCGGCCACCUGGCCCGGUACUGACGCUGAGGCGCGAAAGCGUGGGGAGCAAACAGGAGUAGAUACCCCAGUAGUCC
rnacentral:rRNA from 1 species